AACCUUACCAGGUCUUGACAUCCCGAUGCUAUUCUAGAGAUAGAAAGUUACUUCGGUACAUCGGUGACAGGUGGUGCAUGGUUGUCGUCAGCUCGUGUCGUGAGAUGUUGGGUUAAGCCCCGCAACGAGCGCAACCCCUAUUGUUAGUUGCCAUCAUUCAGUUGGGCACUCUAGCGAGACUGCCAGUAAUAAACCGGAGGAAGGUGGGGAUGACGUCAAAUCAUCAUGCCCCUUAUGACCUGGGCUACACACGUGCUACAAUGGUUGGUACAACGAGUUGCGAGUCGGUGACGGCGAGCUAAUCUCUUAAAGCCAAUCUCAGUUCGGAUUGUAGGCUGCAACUCGCCUACAUGAAGUCGGAAUCGCUAGUAAUCGCGGAUCAGCACGCCGCGGUGAAUACGUUCCCGGGCCUU
rnacentral:rRNA from 1 species